rnacentral:rRNA from 1 species
GGGUUGUGAGGUUAAGCGACUAAGCGUACACGGUGGAUGCCCUGGCAGUCAGAGGCGAUGAAGGGCGUGCUAAUCUGCGAUAAGCGCCGGUAAGGUGAUAUGAACCGUUAUAACCGGCGAUACCCGAAUGGGGAAACCCAGUGUGACUCGUCACACUAUCAUUAACUGAAUCCAUAGGUUAAUGAGGCGAACCGGGGGAACUGAAACAUCUAAGUACCCCGAGGAAAAGAAAUCAACCGAGAUUCCCCCAGUAGCGGCGAGCGAACGGGGAGGAGCCCAGAGCCUGAAUCAGCAUGUGUGUUAGUGGAAGCGUCUGGAAAGGCGCGCGAUACAGGGUGACAGCCCCGUACACAAAAGCGCACAUGCUGUGAGCUCGAUGAGUAGGGCGGGACACGUGGUAUCCUGUCUGAAUAUGGGGGGACCAUCCUCCAAGGCUAAAUACUCCUGACUGACCGAUAGUGAACCAGUACCGUGAGGGAAAGGCGAAAAGAACCCCGGCGAGGGGAGUGAAAAAGAACCUGAAACCGUGUACGUACAAGCAGUGGGAGCACCCUUUGGGGUGUGACUGCGUACCUUUUGUAUAAUGGGUCAGCGACUUAUAUUCUGUAGCAAGGUU